UACGUAGGGUGCAAGCGUUGUCCGGAAUUAUUGGGCGUAAAGAGCUCGUAGGCGGUUUGUCGCGUCUGCUGUGAAAACUCGGGGCUUAACUCCGGGCCUGCAGUGGGUACGGGCAGACUAGAGUGCGGUAGGGGAGACUGGAAUUCCUGGUGUAGCGGUGAAAUGCGCAGAUAUCGGGAGGAACACCAGUGGCGAAGGCGAUCACCUGGGGUUGUUCUGACGCUGAGGAGCGAAAGCUAGGGGAGCAAACGGG
rnacentral:rRNA from 1 species